rnacentral:rRNA from 1 species
AUGAACGCUGGCGGCGUGCCUAAUACAUGCAAGUCGAGCGAACGGACGAGAAGCUUGCUUCUCUGAUGUUAGCGGCGGACGGGUGAGUAACACGUGGAUAACCUACCUAUAAGACUGGGAUAACAUCGGGAAACCGGAGCUAAUACCGGAUAAUAUUUUGAACCGCAUGGUUCAAAAGUGAAAGACGGUCUUGCUGUCACUUAUAGAUGGAUCCGCGCUGCAUUAGCUAGUUGGUAAGGUAACGGCUUACCAAGGCAACGAUGCAUAGCCGACCUGAGAGGGUGAUCGGCCACACUGGAACUGAGACACGGUCCAGACUCCUACGGGAGGCAGCAGUAGGGAAUCUUCCGCAAUGGGCGAAAGCCUGACGGAGCAACGCCGCGUGAGUGAUGAAGGUCUUCGGAUCGUAAAACUCUGUUAUUAGGGAAGAACAUAUGUGUAAGUAACUGUGCACAUCUUGACGGUACCUAAUCAGAAAGCCACGGCUAACUACGUG